GGUUAGCUUGCUAACCAUGGCGAACGGGUGAGUAACACGUAGGUAACCUGUCUUUAAGACGAGGAUAACCAUUGGAAACGAUGGAUAAUACUGGAUAGGACAAAUCCCCGCAUGAGGAGAUGUUUAAAGGAGCAAUCCACUUAGAGAGGGGCCUGCGGCGCAUUAGCUAGUUGGUGAGGUAAUGGCCCACCAAGGCGAUGAUGCGUAGCCGGACUGAGAGGUUGAACGGCCACAAUGGAACCGAGAACGGUCCAUACUCCUACGGGAGGCAGCAGUAGGGAAUUUUCGGCAAUGGGCGGAAGCCUGACCGAAGCAAUGCCGCGUGAACGAUGAAGUAUUUCGGUAUGUAAAGUUCUUUUAUUUGGGAAGAAAAAACAAAUUGACUGUACCAAAUGAAUAAGCUCCGGCUAACUACGUGCCAGCAGCUGC
rnacentral:rRNA from 1 species